rnacentral:rRNA from 1 species
GUAAACGAUGUCGACUUGGAGGUUGUGCCCUUGAGGCGUGGCUUCCGGAGCUAACGCGUUAAGUCGACCGCCUGGGGAGUACGGCCGCAAGGUUAAAACUCAAAUGAAUUGACGGGGGCCCGCACAAGCGGUGGAGCAUGUGGUUUAAUUCGAUGCAACGCGAAGAACCUUACCUGGUCUUGACAUCCACGGAAGUUUUCAGAGAUGAGAAUGUGCCUUCGGGAACCGUGAGACAGGUGCUGCAUGGCUGUCGUCAGCUCGUGUUGUGAAAUGUUGGGUUAAGUCCUGCAACGAGCGCAACCCUUAUCCUUUGUUGCCAGCGGUCCGGCCGGGAACUCAAAGGAGACUGCCAGUGAUAAACUGGAGGAAGGUGGGGAUGACGUCAAGUCAUCAUGGCCCUUACGACCAGGGCUACACACGUGCUACAAUGGCGCAUACAAAGAGAAGCGACCUCGCGAGAGCAAGCGGACCUCAUAAAGUGCGUCGUAGUCCGGAUUGGAGUCUGCAACUCGACUCCAUGAAGUCGGAAUCGCUAGUAAUCGUGGAUCAGAAUGCCACGG